rnacentral:rRNA from 1 species
AUUGAACGCUGGCGGCAGGCCUAACACAUGCAAGUCGAACGAGUGGCGGACGGGUGAGUAAUGUCUGGGAAACUGCCUGAUGGAGGGGGAUAACUACUGGAAAGGGUAGCUAAUACCGUAUACUCUUGGAUGUGCCCAGAUGGGAUUAGCUAGUAGGUGGGGUAAAGGCUCCUCUAGGCGACGAUCCCUAGCUGGUGUGAGAGGAUGACCAGCCAAACUGGAACUGAGACACGGUCCAGACUCCUACGGGAGGCAGCAGUGGGGAAUAUUGCAUAAUGGGCGCAAGCCUGAUGCAGCCAUGCCGCGUGUAUGAAGAAGGCCUUCGGGUUGUAAAGUACUUUCAGCGGGGAGGCGUUACCCGCAGAAGAAGCACCGGCUAACUCCGUGCCAGCAGCCGCGGUAAUAC